rnacentral:rRNA from 1 species
CCUACGGGGGGCAGCAGUGGGGAAUAUUGCACAAUGGGCGCAAGCCUGAUGCAGCCAUGCCGCGUGUGUGAAGAAGGCCUUCGGGUUGUAAAGCACUUUCAGCGGGGAGGAAGGCGUUAAGGUUAAUAACCUUGGCGAUUGACGUUACCCGCAGAAGAAGCACCGGCUAACUCCGUGCCAGCAGCCGCGGUAAUACGGAGGGUGCAAGCGUUAAUCGGAAUUACUGGGCGUAAAGCGCACGCAGGCGGUCUGUCAAGUCGGAUGUGAAAUCCCCGGGCUCAACCUGGGAACUGCAUUCGAAACUGGCAGGCUAGAGUCUUGUAGAGGGGGGUGGAAUUCCAGGUGUAGCGGUGAAAUGCGUAGAGAUCUGGAGGAAUACCGGUGGCGAAGGCGGCCCCCUGGACAAAGACUGACGCUCAGGUGCGAAAGCGUGGGGAGCAAACAGGAUUAGAUACCCGAGUAGUC